UACGUAGGGGGCUAGCGUUGUCCGGAAUCAUUGGGCGUAAAGCGCGCGUAGGCGGCCCGGUAAGUCCGUUGUAAAAGUCAAAGGCUCAACCUUUGAAAGCCGAUGGAUACUGCCGGGCUAGAGUCCGGAAGAGGCGAGUGGAAUUCCUGGUGUAGCGGUGAAAUGCGCAGAUAUCGGGAGGAACACCAAUGGCGAAGGCAGCUCGCUGGGACGGUACUGACGCUGAGGCGCGAAAGCGUGGGGAGCAAACAGG
rnacentral:rRNA from 1 species